rnacentral:lncRNA from 1 species
GCUAACACUAACGGUCCAUCGUCCUCGAAUCGGGGUCCAAAUAACUUCAAUGGAAGGGCUUCUUCGAAGUGGGGUGCUGAAGAAGAAAUUGUUGUUCGAAUUCGGGUACUUCGGGCUCAAGACGAUGAAUUCGACCUGGGUUUCCACGAGCUGUCUCUGUGUGUCAGUGAAUAGAGCUUUCUAAAUUCGCCAGAGCUUUCUGAAUUCAAUCGUGUUAGUGAAAUAGAGCUCUCUGAAUUCAACCUUGGUGCUAUCUG